rnacentral:rRNA from 1 species
AGAUUGAACGCUGGCGGCAGGCCUAACGCAUGCAAGUCGAGCGGCAGCACGGGUACUUGUACCUGGUGGCGAGCGGCGGACGGGUGAGUAAUGCCUAGGAAUCUGCCUGAUAGUGGGGGAUAACGCUCGGAAACGGACGCUAAUACCGCAUACGUCCUACGGGAGAAAGCAGGGGACCUUCGGGCCUUGCGCUAUCAGAUGAGCCUAGGUCGGAUUAGCUUAGUUGGUGGGUAAUGGCUCACCAAGGCGACGAUCCGUAACUGGUCUGAGAGGAUGAUAAGUCACACUGGAACUGAGACACGGUCCAGACUCCUACGGGAGCAGCAGUGGGAAUAUGGACAAUGGGACGAAGCCUGAUCCAG